GAACUGGGUGAGUAAGUGCUUUGGAAUCUCUCCCAGUAGUGGGGAAUAACCAGUCGAAAGAUUGGCUAAUACCGCAUACGUCUCGUAAAGGGAAAGCGGGGGCUCGUAAGACCUCGCGCUAUUGGAUGAGCCAAAGUCGGAUUAGCUAGUUGGUGGGGUAAUGGGCUACCAAGGCUGACAAUCCGUAGCUGGUCUGAGAGGACGACCAGCCACACCGGAACUGAGACACGGUCCGGACUCAUACGGGAGGCAGCCAGUGGGGAAUCAUGUGGACAAUGGGGGAAACCCCUGAUCCAGCGACGCCGCGUCGUGUGACAGAAGGCCUGCGUGGUUGUCAUAGAUGCUACUUUUAGUUGGGGACAUACAACAGCUACGGAUCUAAUACUCUAGUCGGUCUUGCAUUUAACCCUAAAGAACAUAGAGCGACCGGUCUAACUCUGUGCCAGCUAGCCGUCGGUAAUCACAGAGGGUCGCGAGCGUUAAUCGGAAUUACUGGGCGUAACAGCGCGCGUAGACUGGUUUGGUAAGUCCAGAUGUGC
rnacentral:rRNA from 1 species